GGUCUCUAUACUUCAAGCUAAUAGAAAGAAUACAGUCGAAUUUGUCAUCUUGUAUUGUGAAAAAUACGUAUUUUAUUUAUAUUACGUUAAAUGGUAGUCAGUUUUUGAUAAUAUUUGAUUAAAGAAUAAAAAUUAUAAUGAUUGUGCGAGGAUAAAUUACAAAGUUUUUGUAUCUGCAUAUACAUUGUAUAUGAAUAUUUUUUUCGUUAGCUAUUCACAGUAGGUUGGUUCAUUACACAUAUACAUAAACAUCUAUUGUGAAUUAUUCUUUUUCUCGUCACGUACACCAGUGUCAUAUUGUGUACACAGUAGACAAAAACAUUUUGUAAUCAAGCUGAACAAAGUUUUUUACUUAAAUGUUUAGCAAAUUGUAAAAUUUUAAUAUUGUCCACUAAUAGCCUUAAAAAAGUAAAAAAUAAAUGUGAAAAACUUAUAUAUUGCGCUAAAACGCCAAGUUUGUGACAACAAAGAUCCAGUGCUAUUUAAAUUAAAAACAAGUUCUUUAAUUGAAUACAAGUGAAAUAAUUGUUUGUGUACAUACAUAUUUAAUGAACUCAACUAUUUGUGUUAAAUAAAAAUGUUAAAAUGUAUAUUGUGAACUUUAAUAAACAAUGUAUAAAACUUCAGAGUAAAAGGACGAUACAAUUUUAUAAAAAUUAAUACAUGUAUGUUGAUUUUAAUUUUAAAAUAAAUAUUACGUUGUUAUAGAACUACGUUUGGUAAAAAUAAUAACAAAUAAGAAAAAUGUCUGCCGACAUACCGCGUAUUAUGGUUUUUCGACCAACAUGGGAAGAGUUUAAAGAUUUCCCUAAAUAUGUGGCUUACAUGGAAUCUCAAGGUGCCCACAAGGCUGGUUUGGCGAAAGUAGUGCCACCGCCUGAAUGGGUUCCGCGAAAAUCAGGCUACAAUGAUUUAGACGCUCUAAAGAUAACAAUACCGGCUCCCAUUUGCCAAGUUGUUACAGGCAAACAGGGACUGUAUCAGCAAAUUAAUAUACAGAAAAAGCCAUUAACUGUUAAACAGUUCUCCGAAUUGGCAAGUACAGAACGCUAUCAGACACCUAAACAUUUUGAUUACGAAGACUUAGAAAGAAAAUAUUGGAAAAAUAUAACAUAUGUGGCUCCAAUAUAUGGAGCCGACGUUAGCGGUAGCAUAACUGAUCCAGAUCAAAAUAGUUGGAAUAUUAACCAUUUGGGAACCAUUCUUGAUUACGUCAACGAAGAUUACGGUAUCCAAAUUGAUGGAGUAAAUACUGCAUACCUAUAUUUCGGUAUGUGGAAAACAACGUUUGCUUGGCAUACAGAAGAUAUGGAUUUAUAUUCUAUAAAUUAUUUGCACUUCGGUGCUCCGAAAACUUGGUAUGCAGUACCACCAGAAUACGGUCGCAAAUUAGAAAAAGUUGCAAAUCAGUAUUUUCCUGCCAGUUAUAAAAACUGUAAUGCUUACUUGCGACACAAGAUGACUCUUAUAAGUCCACAAAUUUUAAAACAACAUGACGUCCCUGUAAAUAAGAUUACUCAAGAGUCAGGGGAGAUAAUGAUUACAUUUCCAUUUGGUUAUCAUGCGGGUUUUAAUCACGGUUUUAAUUGUGCUGAGUCAACUAAUUUUGCAAUGGAGCGUUGGAUAGAAUACGGCAAACGUGCGACUCAAUGUACCUGCAGCAACGAUAUGGUUAAGAUUUCAAUGGACACAUUUGUAAAACGUUUUCAACCAGAACGUUAUCAAGCCUGGCUUGAAGGUACAGAUUUUGGUCUACAUCCGGAGGAUCCUCCUAAUGCUAUUGUUCCAGCUCCUUUACCUACACAUAUAGAUGUCAUGUGCAAUAAAAAUAAUAGGGGUGCUUUUGAUGAUUUACCUUUAAACAUGUUAAAAAGAAUGAAAAAACAAUGUAAUCCAACAAAAACAAAAUCGUUUAAAGAACGUAACCCUGAUUUGGACUUAGAUGAGAUUCAGCAAAAUCCUAAUAUACCUGACGACAUAAAGGCGGUCUUGAAAGAAAGUGUUUUAACGUUAGAUGCUGAAGAGGAAGAACCUGCUAUCGUAGGUGACGAAAAUGAAGGAAAUAAAUGUGUGGAAGGUCCAGCAGAUCUUAAAACAAAAAAAGAACUUUUAGCUUAUAUUGAUGAUGGAACAGAUGAGGAUGAUGAGGAAGAUCGUAACUUUAAGAAACGUAAAAAUAAGCGUAAAACGGAUGCUGAAUAUGAUGAUGAUUGGUUAGCCAGUAAACGACGGACUAACUCACGAAAUAGCAGUAGAGGGAGAAAUCCUCGAGGCAAAGAUAAAUCGAAAGAUGACCGUUCAAUAUCACCAGCAUCAUCAACAUCGUCGUCAGCAACAACUAAGUGUGGACGUGGUAAUAGAUUGAAUACAAAAACGAAUAUUUCGAAAACUCCUCGCAAAACUCCAGUUAAAAAAAAGAAAGGCGAUGAUAAAAACUCAUCAACUUCAGAGAGUCCAAAAUUGGAUAUAUCUCCAACGCCAUCAUUGCAGACAACAAUAACUGGUAAUGCAGGAGGAGAUACGAGUCAAAAGCAUAUUUCCACACUAACGAAAAGUGAACAUCCCUCAUUGCAGUUUAUGCAACAACAGCGUAAAUUUGAAGGAAGAAUACCAAAAAUUCAUCAGCAAACAACACAAAUGACAACAUUAGCAAGUGUUAGCACAACUAAUACCAUUACUUCCAGCACUCCAACAUCAUCUACAGACGCUAACAUCAGCGGCACAGACGGUGUAACAACAAAAUCCUCAAUUUCUAGUCAAAAUCAAACCGAUCAAGCGAUAGUUUAUGCAACCAUGUUGCCAGCCGCUACAACAUUUAAUGGCAUUCCAUCUCAUCAUCAACCACAGUAUAUUACAAUGCAAGCGCCAACUACGACUUUAAGUCCAACCACGCAUACAACAUCUAGUCCCAUAACCGCUGCAACAACUGAUGGUACAGUUUAUCAAUAUAAAUCAGAAAUUAUUUGUGACACACAACAUCGAUACCAACAGCAGCAACAGGCACCUUCCCAAUCUCACGACAACCACGACAAUGUGGUCACCAAUAUUAGUUCGUCCCCCCUACUGCUCACAACAACAUCAUCAACAUCGCCUCCGCUGUCAUUGUCAACAACGACAAUUUCGACAAAUGGCAACAACAGCAACACCGAGACAACCACGCAAACGUCACAAUCUCAAUACCGAUAUAUUACCACCACCUCAACAGGCUCGACAAGUGGAGAAGAAGUUGCACAACACCAGACUCCGUCAACGACAAUUGUGUAUGAAAACUAUGAAGGCGACGUUGCCCCGAACGGGAGCACAAUCAUUAAAUUCGAGGGAGGAGAAUAUGAAGUAAUAAAGAGUGAAAUAAAUGAUAAUCAUAUAAUACAAACAACAUCCACUAAUACCGUACAACAUCAGCAUUCCCAACAGCAGCUACAACAACAGGAAGUGAUUGUCAAGUAUGAAGACCAAAGUUUGGACGAUGACAGUUAUGAGGAAUUUCAGGCUGUUUCACAAUCUCCACAAAAGGACCAGCAACAGGGAUUGACCUACCAAACAAUUACUCACCAUGAUAAGGAACUAAACCAAACAAUAACUGAGACCAUAGCUAUACCAAGUGGUGGCACUAUACCCAAUGUUAAACAAAAACGUAAACGUAAAACACGUUCAGUAGCGGCCGAUGAACAGGGCGAAUAUUUGGAAAAAAUGUCAGUGAGAGGUUUGGACAUACAAAGGUACGAACAUAUUAUUGAUGGUGUCUCAUAUUGUUUGGUAUGUGCUAAAAAUGAUAUUUAUAAGACGUUUAAAAACAAGUACAGUUUCCAACGUCAUGCAUAUCUUUUUCAUGAGGGCGAUAAUCGAAAAAUAUUCGCUUGUCCCAUUUGUAAUAAAGAAUUUUCAAGGCCAGACAAAAUGAAAAUGCACAAGAAAGAUAAACACGGCGAUAUGACGUUGGCAGAUUCUAAUAUGAACGGCGGUACUGGAACACCUGUGAAAAAUAACACAAAAGUGGCUGAAACUCCACCACCAGCUAAAAGAUCAAGAACUUCAGCAGCGAAAACACCAAGAGCAAGAAAACCUCGCAGCACAUUGGCCAAUAUGAACAACAAUGAAAUUGUUAUUUCUCAUAGCCCCAAUAAAGAUGCUGCCGCGCAAAAACGUUUGGCUCAAAUUGAUAGUGUCUUAGAUGAAGUGCAAAACGCAGAUUCUAAUCAAUCUGGAGGAAGUUUACAAAUCCAACAGCAAAGUAUUGUACAAUCAGUUCAAACACAGCAGCAGCAUCAUCAACCCGCCCAGCAGCAGCAAUUACCAUCUCUGGAAUUUAGUGGGAUGAUUUUACCCGGUGGUGCACAGCUAGCUUUGGCAAAUCCAGGUGCCACUUCAAGUAUAAUACAACCUCAACAAAGAGUUUUGAAUAACCAGCCAACACAACAAACUGCUGUGGCUGCACAAAAUCAUUCUCCUGCUAAUGGUGGAACAACUACAUUGAUUUAUUCGAAUCAAAUUGAUUUACAGCAAGCUUUGUUGCAACAGCAGUUGCAAGGUCAAAGUAUAAUGAUUCAAGAUCAAGCUGGCAAUUUAGUACCUUUGCAGUCAUUACAAAGUUUAGACGGUACACAGACAAUUUACACUACGGCUCCGGCCACUUCAGCGCAUCGGCAACAAAUCCUACAGGCCCAGCCCACACAACCUGCACAACAAACCUUGGUAACCACUAAUCCUACUCAUGUAAAAGUGGAAUCAAAUUCACCACAAUCACAACACAACAACAAUAACAAUAAUGCCUCUAGUCAUCCCAUGCAGCAACAUUACGAAAUUGAAAAUGUUUCGUAUAUAUCAUCUGCAGCACCCGCUCCAACAGUUCCUACUCAUGCACCUACAGAGCAGCAUGUUAUUGGUACCGUGCAAAGUUACCAAAUUUUGACACCUGAUGGCCUCCAAAGCUACCAAGCUGCCGCUAAUAAACUUGAACCCAAUGAAAUAGAACUCUGUCCAUACAGUAUGUCAAGUACAACACCACAAUAUACGUAUAGUAGCCAUCUAACUACGUCUUCUGACCCAUCGUUACAUCCGCAACAUCAUCAGCAAACUCUAAGCGCCAAUGGCUCACAUCACGCAAUUCAUCAUCAAUCACACCACCAAAAUAAUUCUCCUGCUCCACAUAGCCAUCAUCAACAUCACCAGACAACGCAUCAUCAACUACCGUCGCUAACUGCUCCGCAUCAUCAAUUUAUGGAAUUAAAAAACGAAUUACUCAUUAAAAGUUCCGACACAUAUUCGUUGGAUGCUGCCACCUCAAUGUAUCACUUACCUUUCUCGCCCACUUCUAUGAUUAAUGCUGUGAGUGAUGUUAAUUCAUCCUCACUAUUGGAAACCAAAGAAAUUAGUUACGAUAUCAACGAAGCCGUGCUGUUAGCUCUUUAAACUUGAUUAGUCAAGUUAUUGAAAAAUAUUUGGGAAAAGUAUUAUUUAUUUUAAUUGGGAAAUCAUGACCAUCAUUUAUCAUUGACAUCACUGGGUUCAUUAUUUUAACCUUAUUUCCUAUGUUUUCCGUGUCAUUAUUAACAGUUUUAUUUAAACCUUAAAUGUUCCUUCUAUCAUUCCUCCAUACACUUUAUCUCUGUCACACGCCUCACAAACUUGCACAUUGGCUGCUGCAGCAAGUUUUUGUUUUAUUAUUCCAAAUUAUUAUUUUUUAAUACAAAAACUACAUUUUAAAACAAAAGAUUUUUCUAAUGAACUCAACACCAAGUCCUCCAACAACGAUCAUGUAUUUGUUAAGCCUUUUCAAAAGAAUGAAAAUUCAAAUUUAUCAACAUCAUACACACACACUAAUAAAAAAAAUAAUUACAAUGCCACAAAC
rnacentral:misc_RNA from 1 species